UCUGUACUGAAGUCAUAAGCAUCAUCCUCUUCAAUGAUUUUAUCCAAGAUAAAAGACCUUGUAGACUGUUCACCUGCUGUAGUCUCCUCAGACAGUGCCUCCCCUGUCUCUUCUGCAGCAAACAUGCCUGAGCUGUUUUCAUCAACUUCUUCAUCAACAGUUUCCUGGUCACUGUCUUUGUCAUCCUCCCUCUCCUCCUGCUUCCUUUCUUUCCG
rnacentral:misc_RNA from 1 species